ACGGGGUGCAGCAGGCGCGAAACCUUUUCAAUGCGCGCAAGCGUGAGAAGGGAAUUCCAAGUGCUCAAGUUUAACUUGGGCUUUUGCCAAGUGCAAAAAGCUUGGCGAAUAAGGGGUGGGUAAGACUGGUGCCAGCCGCCGCGGUAACACCAGCGCCUCGAGUGGGGGUCGCGAUUAUUGGGUCUAAAGCGUCCGUAGCAGGCCUUGUAAAUACUUUGUGAAAUCGGCAGGCAUAACCUGUCGGCGUGCAGAGUAGACUGCAGGGCUUGAGACCGGGAGAUGUCAGAAGUAUUCCUAGGGUACCGGUAAAAUGGGUUAAUCCUGGGAGGACUACCGAUGGCGAAGGCAUCUGACAAGAACGGUUCUGACUGUGAGGGACGAAAGCUAGGGGAGCAAAACGGAUUAGAUACCCGAGUAGUCCUAGCCGUAAACGCUGCGAGCAAGGUAUUGCGCCUCCCACGAGGAUGCGCAGUGUCGAAAUGAAGAUGUUAAGCUCGCCACCAGGGAAGUACGGUCGCAAGGCUGAAACUUUAAGGAAUUGGCGGGGGAGCAC
rnacentral:rRNA from 1 species